rnacentral:rRNA from 1 species
UGGGGAAUAUUGCACAAUGGGCGCAAGCCUGAUGCAGCAACGCCGCGUGAGGGAUGACGGCCUUCGGGUUGUAAACCUCUUUUAGCAGGGAAGAAGCGAAAGUGACGGUACCUGCAGAAAAAGCACCGGCUAACUACGUGCCAGCAGCCGCGGUAAUACGUAGGGUGCAAGCGUUGUCCGGAAUUAUUGGGCGUAAAGAGCUCGUAGGCGGUCUGUCGCGUCUGCUGUGAAAUCCCCGAGGCUCAACCUCGGGCCUGCAGUGGGUACGGGCAGACUAGAGCGCGGUAGGGGAGAAUGGAACUCCUGGUGUAGCGGUGGAAUGCGCAGAUAUCAGGAAGAACACCGAUGGCGAAGGCAGUUCUCUGGGCCGUAACUGACGCUGAGGAGCGAAACGCGUGGGGAGCGAACAGGAUUAGAUACCCUGGUAGUCCACGCCGUAAACGUUGGGCGCUAGAUGUGGGGCACCAUUCCACGGUUUCCGUGUC